UGGAUCGAUGAUGAGUCCCCCAUAAAAACAUUCCUUGGAAAAGCUGAACAAAAUGAGUGAGAACUCAUACCGUCGUUCUCAUCGGAACUGAGGUCCAGCACAUUGCCUCCUCUGGGGACUGUAGGAGCGAGGGACAACUUCCACUGGUUCCCAUGCGUUCCACCACCCAGGGCAUGUACAGAUGAAAUUCUCCUGUCACAUGCAUGUUAGGAACAUUUCCUCUGUAUGACAUAGACGGAUGGGACAGUUGUGGGGGGAUCGGCCACUCUGUGAUGUUGUGGCAGCCACGGAAGCAGGUGGAAGUGUUUUGACCUAGGGUUGUAUAUGGCUGGUCUUGGCUUGGUGAACUCCCAGGAAGGGAGACCCGAGCCUCGCAGCAGGUGUCUUUGUGCAGAGGACCAGGUCACAGUUCCCCUGCCAAGGAGAGCAUGAGGCCCAAGCCUCAGGUAGACCUUGGUCUUCAUUUUCCACUUGCUGAUUACAGGGGAGUUCCAAGGUGAUGGAGGAGAGCGCAGAGCAAUGGGUGUCACUGCAGACGGCUAAAGCCUCUUUGGCCCUCCUUCCAGCAUCAGUCACAGGUGCCCCCUGGCAUGGAUUUCUUUGCAUCCCUAGCCAUGAGAUGACCAUGGUGCAGUGACCAAGGCUUGGGCAGGACGGUACCCCACAGAAAAGGUGGUGGAGGGCUCAUGUGGACAUGUGUGUCAUCAGCUGCAUUAGGCUGUCACUUAGUGAUGGUCUUUCUAUGGAUUUCUCUGGUGGAUGACAGGUCAGCCAGGAUGGGUCUUUGAGGGCAUGACUCUGGGCAAGUGAGUGUUGGGAUGGUAUCUGUGGCCCUGGGUCACUUCUGAUCUUCUCAGCCAAGUAGUGGGCUCCACCGUUGUGCACACCUUUCUGGAAAUGGUUUCUUGGCAUGCAUUGUUGGGUGGCCCCACCUGUUUCAGCUCAUGUGAGCAAAUACUGCUCUGGAUCCUCUUUCCUGCUUGGAAAGCAAUUUCCAUUCUGAAGGCAUCCAGUGGGAAUGUGCCCUGGCCCUGGCCUGGGAUUCUCCAGUGGGUUCCAGUCAUGCGUGGGGCUAUCCACGGAGGUCUGUGUGCGUUCCGGGCAAUGCGUAUGCAGUCCCGGGGCAUUGCCACAGAGAGUCUCUUGACUUGGGAUGCCUCUGCACCUCUGCGUGUUGGCGAUGUUCCAGUGUUGCAUUCCGCUAUGCCCUAGGCGUGGUGAAGAAUUUCAGCUCCCUUAACUGGUUUGAAGUCUCAGCACGGCCAGGACAGGCAUGUCACACUGAAGGGCACACGGUUGGCUUAGGAAAGCUGAAAAGGGGCAGUUGCUGUGGGAGGCCUGCCGCCAGCUGAAAGGAAGAUGGUUGAUGCUUCUGAGCAAUGAAGGCCCCGUGGAGUCCUGGAUUCGGUGUGGCCUGGCGUCCGUGGUGCACCCCAUGCUGCUGGAUGGCUCAGGACGGGGCAGUUGCCAUGGGAGGCGCAGGCCUGCUGGAAGGAAGAUGGUCGAUUCUCCCGAGCAACAAAGGCCACGCAGAGUCCUGGUUUUGGUGUGGCCUGGUAUCCAUAGUGCACCCCGUGCUGGUGGGUGGCUCAGGACGCACACUCAUUUCCUCUGCACCUUCCUGAUGUCAUUGGCAUGGAAGGAAGGCCCUUGUCCAAGAAGGAUGGUCUUCGUCUUGUGUGAUCUUUGAGAUGCCAUGAGGCCCCUGGAUACAAAUGGUGUGGGCUCCUUUGGAGGCUUUUGGAUUUCUCCUGAAUGUGGCGUUGGUAUGCAAGGAAGGCCAGUGACCACAAGGGAUGAUUUUGAUCUUGGGAGAUUUUUGGAGAUGGCAAAGUGCUUCUAAACAUGUGUGGCAUGGUCUCCUUCAGGCCGGUGGAUACCUCAGGAUGGUGGCGUUGGCAUGGAAGGAAGGACUGUGUCUGUGAGGGAUGAUCAUCCUCUCAUGUGAUCCUUGGAGAUGCCAGGAAGCCCCUUGACACAUGUGGCAUGGGCUCCUUCAGAGGCUUUUGGAUCCUUCGUGAGUGUGGUAUGGGCAUGCAAAGAAAGACAGAGGCUGCAAGGGAUGAACUUCAUCUUGGGAGAUCCCUGGAGAUGGCAGGGAACCCAUGGACACAUGUGGCAUGGGCUCCUUCGGGUGCCGGUGGAUCCCUUCAUAUGGUGGAAGUGAUGAAUUGGCCAGGCCCACGUUGGUGAGGGACAAUCAUCAUCUCAUGUUAACCUCAGAGAUGCCAGGAAGCUCCUGGACACACAUGGUGUAGGCUUCCUUGGAGGCUGUUGGAUCCAUCCUGAAUUGUUCGUGUAAAAGGCAAACCUGUGUCAUGAGAGAUGAUCAUCAUCUCGUGUGAUCCUUGGAGAUGGCAGGAAGCCCUGGACAUAGACGGUAUGGGCUCCCCCAGAGGCUGUUGGAAUCCUCCUGGAUGUGGUGUGGGCAUGGAAGGAAGGCCAGUGGAGACAAUGGAUGAUCUUGUUCUUAGCAGAUCACUGGAUGUGGCAGGGAGUCCUAGGACAUGUGUGGUGUGGGCUUCUUCAGGUGCUGGUGGUGUUGGCAUGAAAGGAAAGGAGGUAUCUUCGAGGGAUGAUCAUCUUCUUGUGCGAUCCUUGGAGAUGCCAUGAGGCCCCUGGACACAUGUGGUGUGGGCUCCUUUGGAGGCUGUUGUAUCCCUUCUGAAUGUGGCCUGGGCAUAGAAGGAAGGUCAGUGGCCAUGAGGGACAAUCUUGGUCUUGGGAGAUCCCUGGAAAUGAUAGGGAGUCCCUUGAUAUGUGUGGCAUGGGCUCCUUCAGGUGCUAGUGGAUUCCUUAGGAUGGUAAGGACAAACACUGUGCGUGGAUCAAUGAUGACUUCCAUAUAUACAUUCCUUGGAAAGCUGAACAAAAUGAGUGAAAACUCUAUACCGUCAUCCUCGUCGAACUGAGGUGGUGUUGGCAUAAAAGGCAGACUCGUAUCAUGAGGAAUGAUUGUCAUCUUGUAUGAUUCUUGGAGAUGGCAGGAAGCCCCUGGAAACACAUGAUGUGGACUCUGUCAUAGGCUGUUGAAACCCUCCCGAAGGUAGCAUUGGCAUGGAGGGCAGGCCCAUAUUGGCGAGGGACAAUUGUUACCUCGUGUGAGCCAUGGAGACACCAGGAAGCCCCUGGACACAAAUGGCAAAGGCUCCUUUGGAAGUUGUUGGAUCCCUUCUGAAUGUGAGGCCAGAGACAGGCAGACAGCAGGGAGCUGGAUGACAUGGCCUUUGGAACCUGUGCGCAUGCCUGCCUUUCUGAUGCACGUCCAUGUUUUCUCUGCACCUCCCUGGUGGUGUUGGUAUAAAAAGCAGGCUCACAUCAGCAAGGGAUGAUUGUCAUCUCAUGCGAUCCUGGGAGAUGGCAGAAGUCCCGGGACACAUGGAGUGUGGGCUCUUUCGGAGGCUGUUGGAUCCCUCCUGAAUGUAUUGUGGCCAUGGAAGUAAGGCCAGUGGCUACGAGGGACAGUCUUCAUCUUGGGAGAUCCCUAGAGAGGGCAGGGAGCCCCUUGACAUGUGGAAUGUGGUUUCCGUUGGGUGCUGGUGGAUCCCACAGGUGGUGUGGCAUGGAAGAAGGCCAGAGGCUGCGAUGGAUCAUCUUUGUCUUGGGAGAUUCCUGGAGAUGGUGGGGAGCCCCUGGGCACGUGCAGCACAUGUGGUGUGGGCUUCUUCAGGUGCUGGUGGAUCCCUCAGGAUGCUUUUCAAGGUUUUUCUGUGAGUUCUGUUAAAGAGUCUGAAAACGGAGCGUAGAAGACAAGCUUCGAUUUC
ensembl:lncRNA